UGCGCAGGCGGCUUCGCAAGUCAGGCGUGAAAUCCCCGGGCUUAACCUGGGAAUGGCGCUUGAAACUACGGAGCUGGAGUAUGGCAGAGGGAGGUGGAAUUCCACGUGUAGCGGUGAAAUGCGUAGAGAUGUGGAGGAACACCGAUGGCGAAGGCAGCCUCCUGGGCCAAUACUGACGCUCAUGCACGAAAGCGUGGGGAGCAAACA
rnacentral:rRNA from 1 species